GCCAGACUCCUACGGGAGGCAGCAGUGGGGAAUAUUGGGCAAUGGGCGCAAGCCUGACCCAGCAACGCCGCGUGAAGGAAGAAGGCUUUCGGGUUGUAAACUUCUUUUAAGAGGGAAGAGAAGAAGACGGUACCUCUUGAAUAAGCCACGGCUAACUACGUGCCAGCAGCCGCGGUAAUACGUAGGUGGCAAGCGUUAUCCGGAUUUACUGGGUGUAAAGGGCGUGUAGGCGGGAGAGCAAGUCAGACGUGAAAUUCCAGGGCUCAACCCUGGAACUGCGUUUGAAACUGUUCUUCUUGAGUGAUGGAGAGGCAGGCGGAAUUCCGUGUGUAGCGGUGAAAUGCGUAGAUAUACGGAGGAACACCAGUGGCGAAGGCGGCCUGCUGGACAUUAACUGACGCUGAGGCGCGAAAGCGUGGGGAGCAAACAGGAUUAGAUACCCUCGUAUAU
rnacentral:rRNA from 1 species